rnacentral:rRNA from 1 species
UACGGGGGGAGCAAGCGUUGUCCGGAAUUAUUGGGCGUAAAGAGCUCGUAGGCGGUGUGUCGCGUCGGCCGUGAAAACCUGCAGCUUAACUGUGGGCUUGCGGUCGAUACGGGCAUCACUGGAGUUCGGCAGGGGAGACUGGAAUUCCUGGUGUAGCGGUGAAAUGCGCAGAUAUCAGGAGGAACACCGGUGGCGAAGGCGGGUCUCUGGGCCGAUACUGACGCUGAGGAGCGAAAGCGUGGGGAGCGAACAGG